rnacentral:rRNA from 1 species
CCUACGGGUGGCAGCAGUGGGGAAUAUUGGACAAUGGGCGAAAGCCUGAUCCAGCCAUGCCGCGUGUGUGAAGAAGGCCUUCGGGUUGUAAAGCACUUUCAGUGGGGAAGAAAGCCUUGGGGCUAAUACCCUCGAGGAAGGACAUCACCCACAGAAGAAGCACCGGCUAACUCCGUGCCAGCAGCCGCGGUAAUACGGAGGGUGCGAGCGUUAAUCGGAAUUACUGGGCGUAAAGCGCGCGUAGGCGGUCUGAUAAGCCGGUUGUGAAAGCCCCGGGCUCAACCUGGGAACGGCAUCCGGAACUGUCAGGCUAGAGCGCAGGAGAGGAAGGUAGAAUUCCCGGUGUAGCGGUGAAAUGCGGAGAGAUCGGGAGGAAUACCAGUGGCGAAGGCGGCCUUCUGGACUGACACUGACGCUGAGGUGCGAAAGCGUGGGUAGCAAACAGGAUUAGAUACCCGGGUAGUC